UAGAGCACACACACAGCAUUUAUUGGAUACUCUGACACAUCAGAAGAGUUCCAACUAGUGUUUUAAUCCUAUUACUUAGAGUAACUAAAAUAGCACCAGUAUCUAUUCUACAGCCAUUUGAGCCUAAAGUGGAAACAAGAUGAGGAGAUGUUUCCUGUGUCCUUCUCCUCCUGGAUUGGCUGAAGGUCUCUGAACAGUUAAUUGAGCUCCUUCAAAAGUAUUAAUUGCUGAUGGAGACUGUACAGAAGGACAUAUGGAGAGAAAAAGAUCUGUUGUUUGCAUCCCUACUCUUCUGUCUUGUUAUUCAUCAUCAAAUGAAAGAAAAGAAAGUGAAUUUCAUGGAUCUUUCAACGUACCAGUGUUCAAAUAUUUUGAUCACUAGAGAAGAUCCACUUCCCUGAUGUCAGUUUUGAGUCCUAGAAAAAAAUAGAAAAUCUAUCACGGAUUACUUGGAAAAGCAGAAAUAUUGUUAAUGAAGAAUUAUAUUUAAUAAAGUAAGCUUAUAAACAAGAUUCUUACCCUUA
rnacentral:lncRNA from 1 species